rnacentral:rRNA from 1 species
AUUGAACGCUGGCGGCAGGCUUAACACAUGCAAGUCGAGCGGGGGAAGGUAGCUUGCUACCGGACCUAGCGGCGGACGGGUGAGUAAUGCUUAGGAAUCUGCCUAUUAGUGGGGGACAACAUCUCGAAAGGGAUGCUAAUACCGCAUACGUCCUACGGGAGAAAGCAGGGGAUCUUCGGACCUUGCGCUAAUAGGUGAGCCUAAGUCGGAUUAGCUAGUUGGUGGGGUAAAGGCCUACCAAGGCGACGAUCUGUAGCGGGUCUGAGAGGACGAUCCGCCACACUGGGACUGAGACACGGCCCAGACUCCUACGGGAGGCAGCAGUGGGGAAUAUUGGACAAUGGGGGGAACCCUGAUCCAGCCAUGCCGCGUGUGUGAAGAAGGCCUUAUGGUUGUAAAGCACUUUAAGCGAGGAGGAGGCUACUCUAGUUAAUACCUAGGGAUAGUGGACGUUACUCGCAGAAUAAGCACCGGCUAACUCUGUGCCAGCAGCCGCCGCAG